AUUGAACGCUGGCGGCAGGCCUAACACAUGCAAGUCGAACGGUAACAGGAAGAAGCUUGCUUCUUUGCUGACGAGUGGCGGACGGGUGAGUAAUGUCUGGGAAACUGCCUGAUGGAGGGGGAUAACUACUGGAAACGGUAGCUAAUACCGCAUAAUGUCGCAAGACCAAAGAGGGGGACCUUCGGGCCUCUUGCCAUCGGAUGUGCCCAGAUGGGAUUAGCUAGUAGGUGGGGUAACGGCUCACCUAGGCGACGAUCCCUAGCUGGUCUGAGAGGAUGACCAGCCACACUGGAACUGAGACACGGUCCAGACUCCUACGUGAGGCAGCAGUGGGGAAUAUUGCACAAUGGGCGCAAGCCUGAUGCAGCUAUGCCGCGUGUAUGAAGAAGGCCUUCGGGUUGUAAAGUACUUUCAGCGGGGAGGAAGGGAGUAAAGUUAAUACCUUUGCUCAUUGACGUUACCCGCAGAAGAAGCACCGGCUAACUCCGUG
rnacentral:rRNA from 1 species